AGAGUUUGAUCCUGGCUCAGGAUGAACGCUAGCGGGAGGCUUAACACAUGCAAGUCGAGCGGGAUUAGCAGCAAUGCUAUGAGAGCGGCGCACGGGUGCGUAACGCCGUAACGCGUAUGCAACCUGCCUUAUACAGGGGAAUAGCCCAUGGAAACGUGGAUUAAAGUCCCAUAGAAUCAAGAUAUCGCAUGGUAUUAUGAUUAAAACUGAGGUGGUAUAAGAUGGGCAUGCGUCUGAUUAGGUAGUUGGUGAGGUAACGGCUCACCAAGGCGACGAUCAGUAGCCGACCUGAGAGGGUGAACGGCCACACUGGAACUGAGACACGGUCCAGACUCCUACGGGAGGCAGCAGUGGGGAAUAUUGCACAAUGGGCGCAAGCCUGACGCAGCAACGCCGCGUGAGGGAAGAAGGCUUUAUGGAUUGUAAACUUCUUUUGCAGGGGAAUAAAGUGAGCUACGUGUAGCUUAUUGUAUGUACCUUGCGAAUAAGGAUCGGCUAACUCCGUGCCAGCAGCCGCGGUAAUACGGAGGAUGCAAGCGUUAUCCGGAUUUAUUGGGUUUAAAGGGUGCGUAGGCGGUCUAUUAAGUCAGCGGUGAAAGUUUUCAGCUUAACUGGAAAAAUGCCGUUGAUACUGAUAGGCUAGAAUAUGGUUGCUGUGGGUGGAAUGUGUGGUGUAGCGGUGAAAUGCUUAGAUAUCACACAGAAUAUCAAUUGCGAAGGCAGCUCACAAAGCCAUUAUUGACGCUGAGGCACGAAAGUGUGGGGAUCAAACAGGAUUAGAUACCCUGGUAGUCCACACCGUAAACGAUGAUAACUCGCUGUCGGCGAUAAACAGUCGGUAGCCAAGCGAAAGCGAUAAGUUAUCCACCUGGGGAGUACGACCGCAAGGUUGAAACUCAAAGGAAUUGACGGGGGCCCGCACAAGCGGAGGAACAUGUGGUUUAAUUCGAUGAUACGCGAGGAACCUUACCCGGGCUCGAACGGUGCAUGAAUACAUAAGAGAUUGUGUAGCUAGCAAUAGCAUGUAUCGAGGUGCUGCAUGGUUGUCGUCAGCUCGUGCCGUGAGGUGUCGGCUUAAGUGCCAUAACGAGCGCAACCCUUGUCGUUAGUUGCCAUCAGGUAAUGCUGGGAACUCUAGCGAGACUGCCACCGUAAGGUGUGAGGAAGGGGGGGAUGACGUCAAAUCAGCACGGCCCUUACGUCCGGGGCGACACACGUGUUACAAUGGUAGGUACAGAGGGCAGCUACCCAGCAAUGGGAUGCGAAUCUCGAAAGCCUAUCUCAGUUCGGAUCGGAGUCUGCAACUCGACUCCGUGAAGUUGGAUUCGCUAGUAAUCGCGCAUCAGCCAUGGCGCGGUGAAUACGUUCCCGGGCCUUGUACACACCGCCCGUCA
rnacentral:rRNA from 1 species